rnacentral:rRNA from 1 species
UACGGAAGGGGCUAGCGUUGUUCGGAAUUACUGGGCGUAAAGAGCGCGUAGGCGGCUUGCCAAGUUGGGGGUGAAAUCCCGGAGCUCAACUCCGGAACUGCCUUCAAAACUGGCAAGCUCGAGUCCGGAAGAGGGGCGUGGAAUUCCCAGUGUAGAGGUGAAAUUCGUAGAUAUUGGGAAGAACACCGGUGGCGAAGGCGGCGCCCUGGUCCGGUACUGACGCUGAGGCGCGAAAGCGUGGGGAGCAAACAGG